GCAGGACGUCGUCGUUUAACAGCAGAGAAAUAUUCUCCUUUUUUUGCAGCUUUUAACCACAUGGGCAGAAGAGGAAGCGGUUCUUCAAAAUUCUCUAUAAGGAUGUGUGAGCAUCAGGAGCUGGAAGCGACACCUUCAGGAUGAAUUUGAUAAGGCGUAGGAGCAAAAAGCCACUGUCUGCUUUGCAGCUCUGAAAAAAAGACUGUAUGGUUGGACUGUUAAGGGUAGCUGUACUUUGGGAGGCAUUUUUCUCCCAUUUCCACUUUUCAAUUGCCCCCAAUGUAUUCGCAAAAACCUUCUUUUAUAUGUUUAUGCAAAAAAAAAAAAAAAAAGGAAUUUUGAUAACAAAUGUUUAGCAACAGGAUAUAUGUGUGCUGGGCAGAAACAUCAUGAUAUAUGUGAAAACAAAACAGAGAAAAAAAA